AUUUAACUGACAAGUACCAAAUAGGAUGAAACGCGUGUCCUGGAU
rnacentral:hammerhead_ribozyme from 1 species